UUAGUGAAAAGAAAAGAACUUUGAAUUCUUUAAAAGGGACAAAACCCUUCACUAAA
rnacentral:tRNA from 1 species